UCCGAGGUUUCAAAUCAAUGCUUCGUUUCAACUUCUGGUAAAAAAAAAAAGGAACGACGAGUAAUGGACCUUUUAGCCCAAUAACAACUUAACAGCCCAAUAACAACUUAACAGAGAUUUGAGUCGAUAUCAUCGGGAGAAGUCUGGAGAGAGAGAGAGAGAGAGAGAGAGAGAGAGAGCCGGAGAAGACCACAACAAACAAAAAAAAAGUUGCGAAGAAGAAGAAGAAGAAAAUGAUCUACCGAAAGUGGAGUCUGCUGUCCGGUCCACCGGUUAUACUCGGAGGAGCCGUAGUUGCCGCCAUCGCUGUCGGCAUCCUCGUACAGAACGUCACGAAAGGGGAACAAAAGAAGAAUGUCUCAUCAAACAAGUGAAAAUGGAAAAGAUUGGGGAGAAGAUGCUACAAAUGAAAUUUGUAGUGUGAUUUUAGUUCAUGCAGUGUAAGCUCUCAAUAAUGCUUUUGUAAGCUUUUUUCGAAUUCACAGAUCCUCUUUGGUGUUUUUGGACUCUUAUUGCCAAUAAUAAUAUCUCACUUUUUGCACA